rnacentral:tRNA from 2 species
GGGCGGAUGGCGGAAUUGGUAUACGCGCUAGCUUUAGGAGCUAGUUUUCGCAAGAAAUUGAGAGUCCGAGUCUCUCUCCGCCCACCA